AAAUCUGCAGUAUCUUUACAGUAUUUCAUCUCUCUCUCUUACUUUCAGAGUUUCAGUGGUUGUGUCUGGUAUGUGGAUGAAGCUUGCUUGAAGGCAGCAUCUGCAAGGUCUUUUAGCAGAAAAAAAUGAAUGAUCUGGUAUAGUGAAUGAUUUUGUAUAAUAUCAAAGAAAAAGCAUCAGUCGUUCACUUCAUAUAKAGUUCUGAUUGCAAGUACUUUACACUUGUUAAAUUGUGUGAUACUGAAAAUUGCAGCCAGUGUUAGGAGGGCUUUGAUUCACAGCUCUCUAAUGUAGAUGUGAUGAGAUUGUAAAUAGCAAAAAAUCGAACCUGGAUUUCCGAUUCUGGAAGUGCUUUGCCCCAGACUCUCCUCAUUCUUCCAGUGCAACAGGGAAGUGCUGAGUGAGGCGGGAGCCGCUCAGAUCUAGUGACACCUCUGUGCCUUGACUUGACCGGAGUGGCCUCAGGAGGCAAGAGUUCGCUUGCGGUUUGGAAAGGAAAUUGGAGAAGUCCCGUUCCUGCUCCACUUCUCAAAGCUGAAAUUGUCCAUCCUGCAGAGGAGGAGCUCCCUGAUGUUUGUCCGAGAUGCUGUAUAAACACUGCGAACAACUGCAGAAGCCUGAUAGGAACGUGCAAGCGGCUACAUGUACGUAUUUUUAUUUUUCACACACACUUGGACCAGUAUUUUGAAACCAUUUUCCAAAAUGUAGAUGGCUAAAGGAAUAGAGGUGUAUUAGCGCUAAUGCUGAUCAGCAGAUCUCUAGCAUUUAUGUAGAAGAAGCAAGUU
rnacentral:lncRNA from 1 species